AAUAAUUCAUUAAUUAUAUUUUUGUGUUUGACAAGACCUUCGGUCUUGUGCCUACGUACUAACAUAAAAAUGAGGGAUCAAAAUCUCGUAGUUAGUGAUACAUAUUUCAAAAUAAAUGCAUUGCUUUUAACAAAAAUUAAGUUUGAAAGGCACAAGGGCCUAAAAAUGGUUUGAAUGAGUUAGUUCUUUUUGGCUUUUUGAAAGUUUAAGUUAAGUAUAGUUAAGUUUAUUUACAAGUUUGAUUUAAGAAAAGAAGUUUAAAAAUG
rnacentral:lncRNA from 1 species